UAUGGCCAUACCACCCUAAAUGCUCUUGAUCUCAUCUGAUCUUGGAAGCUAAGCAGGGUCUGACCUGGUUAGUACUUGGAUGGGAGAAUAUGAGGGUUGAGAGAA
rnacentral:rRNA from 1 species